UACGGCUAUAUAACAUUGUAAAAAGUGGUUCUCGUCCGAUCACUGAAGUUAAACAACGUCGAGUCUGGUCAGUACCUAAAUGGGUGACCGCUUGGGGAUAAUAGGUACCGUAAU